AAGGAGGUAGGACUUAAGGGAGCCGGGCCUCUACCACGGCUCAGGAGAGCUGGAGAAUUGUUUUUUUUUUCAAUUUCAAUUGAAAAAUGUGUUUGAAUAAAUGAAACCAUAACAUAUUAUUCUGAAAGAAGACAAAAAAGAACUUGCUGGAUUUAUUAUGCGGAAGUUAUGGAUACAUCAAAGCGAUCAGCAGAUGCCUCUGAAGAACACUGGCAGUUGACAGUCGAAACAUGUCUGGAGAUCAAAGUAAAUUUCCUGAAAAACAGUUGUCUGAAUAAAUGAAACCUUAACAUAUUAUUCAGAAAGAAGACAUAAAAUCUGAACUUUAUAUGUAAAUUAUAUAAACUCUAUAUUCUGCUACAGAUUGCAGUAGUGUUGUUGAACUUUAUACCUUCAGUGAAUGCUUUUAAAAAGUUAACAUAUACAUUAUGCAUGCCUAUACAUUUCUGUAUGUGUGUGUCCAUUGUCCUAUGGCUCACCUUGUGCCUGCGGAAUUAUUCACAAGGUAGUUACGCUCAGUUAUGUGUCCAUUAAGAACCAUCUGCAGCCUGCGGGGGUCUGAGAACAAAGGGAGGAUGAGGCUGGAAGAGGAGGAUAUAAAGGCGGCCAAUAAAGUAGUGGAGUUUAAGAUUACCUGCGGAUGUGAGCUCCCCCUCUGGCCCGCCUCUGCAGGCGGGUUGCCCUGGCAACAGAUGAGUCAAGACAACAGUAAAAGUUAAAGUGCGCCUGAUAAAACACAAAGAAAAAGAAGAAAAAUGUGUCUUUGAAGAGUUGCAGUAGAACUAAACCCGGGGGAGCCUGCAGCACUUCCUCCUGAUGGCAGGAUCCAUGAUGCUUGUCAAAAGGCUGUGACGUCACACAGUUAAAGGUGGAGCGCUACAGCUGCUGCUGCAGCUCCAUCACACACCGCAUCCACACUCGCUCCGAGCAGGGGGGACUCCUCGGUCCCUGGUCCCUAUCCGAACCCCCUCCUCCACCACCACCAUGUCCUCCGCUGUCACCGAGACGGACGAGUCCUCCCGCGGCUCCCCGCUGACUCCUCUGAAGCUGGUCGGCCUGGUGUGCGUCUUCCUGGCGCUGUGCCUGGACGUGGGAGCCGUGAUGAGUCCGGCGUGGGUGACCGCGGACGACCAGUACUACCUGUCCCUGUGGGAGUCCUGCUGGAAGCCCGUUAGCACCAAUGGAUGGCAGUGCCGCAGCACGCUGGGCUCAGACUGGCAAGUUGCCACGCUGGCCCUGUUGCUAGGGGGCGGAGCUUUGGUGCUGAUGUCAUUCCUGGUCGCUCUGGUUGGCGUGUGCAUCGGCACAAGACGGCAGUUCUACGCGCCCGUCGCCCUCAUGCUUUUCGCUGCAGUCGUCCUCCAGGCCUGCAGUUUGGUCCUCUAUCCAAUCAAGUUCAUCGAGAGCAUCAACCUGAGGAUCUACCACGAGUUCAACUGGGGCUAUGGCCUAGCCUGGGGCAGCACCAUCUUCUCCUUUGGAGGAGGAAUCCUCUACUGCCUCAAUCCCAAGAACUACGAGGAGUACUACUAA
rnacentral:lncRNA from 1 species